AGCAACGCAGAAGACGGGUGAUUUCUGCAUUUCCAUCUGAGUGAGUGCCUUUUUACCAAUAGUACCAGUAGAUAAGAAGAUAAGAUACAGAUAAUAAAGCACAGAGCAUUGCACAGAUCUACACCAAUGGAUUGGAAUGGAAUGUAGGAUUCUCUUCUUGCUGUGGACACCAUCAAAAUGUGAGAUCACUUCUCUGCUCAAUAGGACAAUCAUACUGAUUCCUUAGGAAGACAUAUAGGAAUCAGUAGAGGGAGAUCCUACCCUGGAAUCGUUUGAUGUCCUUGGGUUAUCUUCCUCUACAAAAAGGGCUAGUUGAAAUAAUGACAUGUGGGAGAUCAGCACUCCAAGUCAAAAUUGCAAAACAGAAGAAAAUUCCAGAAUUAUAUCACUGUUAAGAUAGCAACAAAUAAAUAAUUUGCACCCUACAACCCAUGUGUGAAUUUAAUUCUGGAAAACCCAAUCUGAGACAGGGACAUCCAUCACCAUGUGAAAAAGCCUGGGAUAGUCUGCUGGAAGAAAAUGUAACUUGCAGAGAAUAGAACAGAUAAACCUUGCAGUGUACCCAGUUGGAUUUCAGAACAUUGAAGAGCAGCAGCUUUUAUGGGAAUAAGAGUGUCCCUUACAGGUAAUCUCCUCGACAUUUAUAUUGGGUGAGUCACAGUCAGAAAAUAUCUUAGUUUGUAACUUUGAGGAUGAAGAGUAGGUGUAUUCAAGGAGCUACCUUCUUGAACACAAUUGAAGGUCAUGAAAUUCUGAACUUCAAGGUUGAUACCAUGAUUUCAUGAGACUUUUGAAAGUCCUAGGAUGGCAAUGAGAAUAUCUUUUAUGUGGAAAAAUUGUGGGUAAUUUGUGGCCAGAGGUUGGACUGUGGUAGAUUCGAAAAGUGGUUGCAAAAGUUUUCCAUUCUUGUUUCAUGUCCUUCAGUCAUGACUUCUCCUAGUGACUUUAAGAUUAUCGAUGUGAUUUGCUUUGCCUAUGAGGCAAUAAGCAAAUGUGACACAAGCAGAGGCUUAAAAAUGCGUAUGCUUUAGGAGAGGUUAGCUGUUGCUCUUGGGAAACACAGAACCAUAUAAAGCUGCUAACCUUCUGGCAGAUGAGAAUCAUCACGGAGCAGAGAUGAGGCUAAACAGCUGAGGCUUCUCUAAAAAACAAAACAAACAAACAAACAAACAAAAGCAGUGCACUUCUCAGGUGAUUGGCAUCGGAUAGCAGAAGCAUCGGUGAGUCAGCUGAGGUACAUAGAAGAAAUGCCUACCUGAGCCAACCCAAAUUGCCAACCCACAAAAAUCUGAAACCAAAUAAAUUGUUUAAAACUACUAGGUUUGAGAGUAUUUUGUUACAAAGCAGGUUAACCAAGGCAAUUAAAUGUAAAAGGUAUACUAAAUGAAUAAUUUUAUAAACAUUAAGCCAUAAUGACAUCAAAUUGAUUUUGAAGUUCAUUAAUGCAUACAGUCCUCAAACUGCUUUAUUCAUUGUAUACUGUAAUGUUUCACAUUUAAUUUCUGUAUCUAUUCCACUAAAGUUUAGUUUUUACUUGAGAAGACAAAAAUAUUAUUAUAGGAAAUUUUAUAUCAUACUCAUAAUUUGAUUUGUGAAAAUAAAUAAAAUUCAAAUAAUGUUGAUUUCUGUUAAUGAUGCUGAUUGCUUAUUAGAUCCUACACAUAUAAGUGAAUCAUUUGCCCAUAAAUAUUAUAGAUUAUUAUCAUAACAAGUAUUGAAUAACCUAUACUUCUCAUUUUGAAGAAGUGUAUUCUAUCUUUAAUCAGUUGUGCCUAAAUUUAAAUGUGUAUACAUUUAAGAAUUUUAUCAAAAAAUGUCUUUAAAAAAUCAAAAACAUCAUCAAACUGCCAAAAAUAGAAAAGCUGGGGUAGAGAAGUGAAACUAUUGCUCAGUGAUACAGUCCCUUUUUGUGCCAGCAACAGCUGGGCAAUCAACUUUCAUUUAUAACUAUCUACCGUAAGCAGCUUGCCCGUGGCCAAGUCAAUCAUUAUAGAAUCUAAUGGUACAUCAAUUUUCUUCCAAGAUUUAAUUUGGCACACAGGGUUUUGAAAAAGAAGACUAUCAUAAAAUAUUGCUACAACUCCAGAAUCUAAUAUCUUACUUGUGUUUUGACCCCAUUAGAUAAAAUAAAUUGAAAUCCUUUCAUUAAUGUGUUAACAGAGUCAUUUUAAAAUUGAAUUUUCAUAGUGAUCUCCUUGAAAUUGCUUAUAAAGAACUAAGUUAUGUUGCUAAGGUUCUUAUGCAAAUUUUAAACAGAUAAUAUACCUUUUUGUCUCACAACCAUAACACAUCAAUGCAAGGUUCUGUGUUAACCAAUUUCUUACCAACAAAAUAAUUUUUAAUUUGAUUGUUCUUGGUUUGAAGAUUUGCUACUUCUCUUGUUUAAUUUGUGCAGAAUAAAUUUUAUUAGAGUCUUUUACAGAUAUCUUAUGACAGUAGGGAGUACAUGUGAUCAUAUUUUAUAAAUAUUUUCAAGUUGGUAUCAUGCCUAAAUAUCCUAAGUAGUGAUUUGUGAAUAAUGGCAAAUUAAAAUGAAUUAAUGAGAAGUUUGUUAAAAAUGCAGAUGCUCAAAAGAUUAUAUUGCUAGCAGUGUACGGCUAAGUAGAAGUUAAGUGUUCCAGGAUUUGUGAACCAUCAUUUUAAGGACUGAACUGAUGAUGAAAUCACUUAAGUGAAUAUAUUAGCUACUAUACAAAAGAAAAAAUAAAAAAAGUACUUUUUAGAUAACAGAUAACAGCAAAAUGAAGCAUAUUGCAAUAAUACUUUAUCUAUAAUUCUGGAAACAUAAUUUUUAGUUCUUAGGAAUCAUAGGAAUUAGGAUAUAAUAAACAUAAAAAUGAGCUCAAAGAUACAAGUCCAAAAUACAAAUUUUUGUUCUUUUCCUCCUUCCCUAUAUGAAUCAGAAUUUGAGGAGGUGUCAUAGAAAUCUGGAUUUUUAGCAAGCCCAGAAGUUAAUUGUAUAAAUGGUUCUCAAAGCAGUACCAUUUUGCUGAUGUACUUACCAUUGCUUACUAAUCCCCACUCUUUGACAGGCAUUGCAUUCAAGUGCCUUUCAAUUUUGUUUAUUUAACUGCUUAAAACUAUUAUGUUGUAGAUAUUCUUGCGCCUAUGUUACAAGGGUAAGAAAAUGAUUAAAUAAUCAUCUAAAGUCAAAAAAAUAAUAAAAAUAAAGCCAGGAAGCAACUCAGAUC
rnacentral:lncRNA from 1 species